GGAUUGUGGCUCAGCGGUAGAGCACUUGCCUAGCUCGUACAAGGCCCUGGGUUUGAUCCUCAGCACCA
rnacentral:tRNA from 1 species